rnacentral:lncRNA from 1 species
UUUCCAUGUUCACCAUAGCUUGUUUACUUUCUUCAGACUUGCUAUUAAGCACAGAAACGUCAUUGGCUUCCUGAAUUACAGGGAACUCCACAGUCUCUUGUCGGUCUCUGAGGAAAUCCUUCCACCAUCUCUAAGGCUGGGCACUGCAUCUGCUCUCAGUGAAGUUUUCUGUCACCUCCUACAUCUGUAGUGCCAGCUUUCUGGCAAGGAGAAGACUUAGACAUCCAAAUCUCUUCAGCAAGAAAUAGGACGUGCACUGCAGCUACAGCUCUCUAUAAAAGGUAUGAAAAACAGUAGUAUUUUUGUCUCUGAAAGAAGCUCAAGGAAACACGCAUCUAUUUCAUGUUUUAUUUAAAUUUCUCAUAAUUGUAGAAUCAUUUAGUUUGGAACUCCUUACCUAAUAUUUAGUUGUACUGAUUAUUCUUCUGCCUAUUGCUAUCACCAUUAGGGCAUCUGUCUCACAGCGUUGCAUUUGUCUCAGGCUUCCAUAUUUUGUUUUCCCUCCGUCCCUUAGAGUUGUCUUUGAAAGAAGGCAUGCAUAUCUCGUAAAACCUCUAACAAGGUAACACAUUGAAAGAAGUGCCAGUCACUUAAUACAGGAAGGGGAAAAGAGUUUUCAGCUGUCAAGAGCAUAAAACACGUAGUAGAAUGCAAUAAAAUAAUACUGGUAAGGUCUUGCUUUCCUCUG